rnacentral:rRNA from 1 species
AGUUAGUGGAGUGAUCUGUCUGGUUAAUUCCGAUAACGAACGAGAUCCUAGCCAUUUAAAUAGAAGUAGUAACUUCGGUUGCUAUGAACUUCUUAGAGGAACUAUGCGGAAUAUAAUACCGCAAGGAAGUGGGGCUAUAACAGG